CGACUACUGGAUAAUGCUGUAUCCAAUGUUAUCUGUUCUUGUCUUCGGGAACCGCUAUGGCUACGGGGACCCGGAGUUCCUGAGGCUCCUGAACCUCUUCAGUGACAACUUCCGCAUCAUGAGCUCCAGAUGGGGCGAGGUGCCUGGCACGCGGCAGCGCGUCUCCUCUGCCCACGGUAACAGCAGGACCCAGAGAGCCACUUCCAGGAGGAGACGUCAGUAAUGAUGACACACCUUUUUUUUGGUGGCACCGAAACGAGCACCACCCUGUGCUAUGGACUCCUCGUUCUGCUUAAGUACCCAGAGGUGGCAGGUCUGCAAGCCGGAGACCCAGAAUGGGAGGCUGCGGUCUGGGGAUGGCUGGAGGGUCCUGGAAGUGCGCAGCUCAAAGCCUACCCGGGCCCCAGCCAAGGUGCAGGAGCUGGACCCUGUAGUAGGGUGGAGGUGCGCCCCAAGCCCGGACGACCACCAGCGACUGCCCUACACCAACGCAGUGCUGCUCCAGAUCCAGCGCUUCAUCAGCGUGGUGCCGCUGGGGCUACCGCGCUCACCCUCAACACCCACUUGCACAGCCACUGUCUGCCCAAAGGUGCCCACUGAGUUUGGGAAUCCUGUGCGGGGCCCGGGUGCAUGAGGUGUAUUCCGAGAUCAGCCAGAAUCGGUGGGUGUGCGCUGUGCAAACUGAAGCACAAUCAGUUACUCCUGGAGCAGGAUAGCAGGCCUGCCUUCCCUUCGGUUUUUGUUUUUUGAUUUUAUUUAUUUUUUUUGAGACAGUCUCGCCUUAUCGCUCAGGCUGGAGUGCAAUGGCAUGAUCUCAACUCACUGCAACCUCCGCCUCCUGGGUUCAAGCAAUUCUCCUGCUUCAGCCUCCUAAAUACCUGGUAUUACAGGCACCUGCCACCACACCUGGCUAAUUUUUGUGUUUUUAGCAGAGACAGGUUUCGCUGUGUUGGCCAGGCUGGUCUCGAACUUCUUGACCUCGUGAUCCAUGCUCCUCGGCCUCCCAGAGUGCUGGGAUUACAGGCAUGAGCUACCUGCCCGGCCUAUUCCCUUGGGCUUUUAAAAAGGGCCUUGGAUGGAGGAGGUGCACAUGCUCACCAAGCCCACAGGUAAACCAAGUUGCAUGUACCCCCAGGGCACCUUUGUGAUUCCCCUGCUUGUGACUGCCCACUGACCGCACUCAAUUCAAAGACCCAGACUGCUUCAACGCUACCAACUUCCUGGACAAGGGCAAGUCCCAGGGCAAUGACCCUUUCAUGCCCUUUGCCUCAGGUGCAGGCAGGGGAGGAAGGCGACCAGCCUGGACCGGCUCUGGGGUGCAUGGUGCUCACUAUGCACCCGUGUACCUGGGAAAGCAGAUGUGCCUGGGCGCAGGCCUGGCCCACUUGGAGAUCUUCCUAUUCCUUACAGCCACCCUACCGAGGUUCCGCCUGCUCCCUGUGGUAAACCCUGGCACCAUCAACCUCACCUGCAGUUCACUGGCCUGGGCAGUGUCCCCCCAGCCUUCCAGCUCCAGCUAGUGGCCUGCUGAGGUCAGGCUCCGCUGUAGUGGGCUCACUGGCCCUCAAACCUCCGCACCCUCCUUGGUCAAUAAAGGCCCUAAACUGCA